rnacentral:tRNA from 13 species
CGCAGUGUAGCUUAACGUAAAGCCCCAGGUUCAUACCCUGGUAUACGCGGGUGCAAAUCCCGCCACUGCUACCA